rnacentral:tRNA from 1 species
GCGGCGGUAGUCUAGCCUGGUUUAGGAUGGCGAGGGCGCAGCCCCCACACGCCUGCCAAGCCGUUGAUCCCGGGUUCAAAUCCCGGCCGCCGCA